GUCCCCUUUCCAGGACUUUGAGCUUCACCAUCUUCUUGAUCCUGUUUUUGGCUUUUAUCGAGACCCCAUCCUCGCUCACCAGCACGGCGGACGUGCGCUACCGCGCUGCCUCCUGGGAGCCGCCCUGUGGCCUGACCGAGAGUGUCGAGGUGCUCUGCCUGCUGGUCUUUGCGGCUGACCUCUCUGUGAAGGGUUACCUGUUUGGGUGGGCCCAUUUCCAGAAAAACCUUUGGCUGCUGGGCUACCUCGUGGUGCUGGUGGUGUCUCUGGUGGACUGGACCGUGUCCCUGAGUCUUGUGUGUCAUGAGCCCCUGCGGAUCCGCCGGCUCCUCCGCCCCUUCUUCCUGCUGCAGAACUCCUCUAUGAUGAAGAAGACCUUGAAAUGCAUCCGCUGGUCGCUGCCGGAAAUGGCCAGCGUCGGGCUGCUGCUGGCCAUCCACCUGUGCCUCUUCACCAUGUUCGGGAUGUUGCUGUUCGCCGGUGGGAAGCAGGAUGAUGAGCAGGACAGGGAGAGGCUGACCUACUUCCAGAACCUGCCUGAGUCUCUGACUUCCCUCCUGGUGCUGCUGACCACGGCCAACAACCCCGAUGUGAUGAUUCCUGCGUAUUCCAAGAACCGGGCCUAUGCCAUCUUCUUCAUAGUCUUCACUGUGAUAGGAAGCCUGUUUCUGAUGAACCUGCUGACAGCCAUCAUCUACAGUCAGUUCCGGGGCUACCUGAUGAAAUCUCUCCAGACCUCGCUGUUUCGGAGGCGGCUGGGAACCCGGGCUGCCUUUGAAGUCCUGUCCUCCAUGGUGGGGGAGGGAGGAGCCUUCCCUCAGGCCACCCGCCGAGGCCCGAGUACCAGUCUCCGUUUCUGCAGAGCGCCCAGUUCCUCUUUGGCCACUACUACUUUGACUACCUGGGGAACCUCAUCGCCCUGGCAAACCUGGUGUCCAUUUGCGUGUUCCUGGUGCUGUAUGCAGAUGUGCUGCCUGCUGAGCGUGAUGACUUCGUCCUGGGGAUUCUCAACUGCGUCUUCAUUGUCUACUACCUGUUGGAGAUGCUGCUCAAGGUCUUUGCCCUGGGCCUGCGAGGGUACCUGUCCUACCCUAGCAACGUGUUUGACGGGCUCCUCACCAUUGUCCUGCUGGAGGCCAGAGAUGCUGGGCCUGCUGUCGCUGUGGGACAUGACCCGCAUGCUGAACAUGCUCAUCGUGUUCCGCUUCCUGCGCAUCAUCCCCAACAUGAAGCCGAUGGCCGUGGUGGCCAGUACCGUCCUGGGCCUGGUGCAGAACAUGCGUGCGUUUGGCGGGAUGCUGGUGCCUGGCCCCUGCCAAUGGCUCGGCACCCUGUGGGAGCUUCGAGCAGCUGGAGUACUGGGCCAACAACUUCGAUGACUUUGCGGCUGCCCUGGUCACUCUGUGGAACUUGAUGGUGGUGAACAACUGGCAGGUGCUCCUGGAUGCGUAUCGGCGCUACUCGGGCCCGUGGUCCAAGAUCUAUUUUGUAUUGUGGUGGCUGGUGUCGUCUGUCAUCUGGGUCAACCUGUUUCUGGCCUUGAUUCUGGAGAACUUCCUUCACAAGUGGGACCCCCGCAGCCACCUGCAGCCCCUUGCUGGGACCCCGGAGGCCACCUACCAGAUGACCGUGGAGCUCCUGUUCAGGGAUAUUCUGGAAGAGCCCGGGGAGGACGAGCUCACGGAGAGGCUGAGCCAGCACCCGCACCUGCGGCUGUGCAGGUGACGUCCGGGCUGCCGUCCCAGCGGGGGCGGCGGGAGAGAGAGGCUGGCCUACACAGGUGCCUGUCAUGGAAGAGGCGGCCAUGCUGUGGCCAGCCAGGCAGGAAGAGACCUUUCCUCUGAUGGACCACUAAGCUGGGGACAGGAACCAAGUCUUUUGCGUGCGGCCCAACAACCAUCUACAGAACAGCUGCUGGUGCUUCAGGGAGGUGCCGUGCCCUCUGCGUUCUUUUAUAGCUGCUUCAGUGAGAAUUCCCUCGCCGACUCCACGGGGACCUUUCAGACAAAAAAGCAAGAAGCAGCGGCUCCCCCUGUCCCCUGCAGCUUCCGUGGUGCCUUUGCUGCCGGCGGCCCUUGGGGACCACAGGCCUGACCAGGGCCUGCACAGGUUAAACGUCAGACUUCAGGGGCAUUCAGGUGGGGAUGCUGGGGGUUUGACAUGGAGAGAACCUGGACUGUGUUUUAUGAUUUCGUGGCUUGUAUGAGUGUGACUGGGUGUGUUUCUUUAGGGGUCUGAUUGCCGGUUAUUUUCAUCAAUAAGUCUUGCAAAGAAUGGGAUUGUCAUUCUUCACUUCAGCACAGUUCUAGUCCUGCUUCUCUGGAGUAGGGUUGUUGAGUAAGGUUGCUUGGGUUGUGCACUGCACAAGGGCACAUGGCUGUGAGGCAUAUCCUGGCGGGGGGCUGUCUGCCUGCAGUGAGGGGCACCUUUUCUGUUUUGCUCAAAGGCAUGUAUAAGCCAAUGGUGGCCUUAUUUCCUGUGUCCUCAAGGUGUGUGGCAGGGGGUCUGGGGUGGGGAGGCAGGGCAAGCGAGCAGUGUGUGGAAAGCCUCGUUGUCACUUGAUCCGUGCCAAGUCCGGAUCAGGUGCCAACCCACGCCCCCUUUCUGCUGAGGUUUGGGUGCCAUCUAGUGGUGGGUUGGGAUUUGGUUGACUACUUUUAAGGCAAGGUGGACCCAGCAACUCCCAGAAACAACUCCGGGGACACCGCUCCCCGUCACAUUCCACACUGAGCCUGGUGCCCGGUCUGUGCCCGAGCUCAGCGGGAACAGGAAGGGAUGGGCCCUGCCAGGGUUGCCCCUGCACUGUGCAUCCUCGCCUGGGAGGCACAAGUUCUUUCAUCUGCUUUUCCUUCAGAGGUGCUGAGCCCACGCCAUAGCCCCUGUGGGAUGGUGGGGCAGGGGGCGACCCGAACAACAGUGUGGUCGGUAUUGAGAUUAGGGAGAGGAGCAAGUCCAAGGAGAAGGUCAUGAGUUUCUUUUUACUCACGUCGAAUAAUAACAACAAUGACAAUAUGGAAACCACCGCAAACUUGGAGAAAAGUUGCAAGUACAGUAAAGAGAAGCUUCCUUCUGAGUCACUUGAGUGGUUGCCGUUCUGGCCCUGCACCCUCUGUGCUUUGGGACGGCGUCCAACCCGCAUUCGCGUCAGGAGUGAGUCGCACGUGGCUUUGUGGUCAUGGCGACUUAAUCCGCCUGGACGGUGGCUCUGUCUCCCUGGGCUUAGACGACCUUGGCACCUCUGGAGAUAAGCCCGUGGCUCCCAGGUUGUGUUCAUGUGAUGUUUCCUCGUGGUAGGUUCUGGGUCUGCGUUUUGUCUAGGAGUGUCACAGGAUGGACACUGCCUCCUGGCAGGGGCUGCCCAAAUGCAGUUAGCCUCCUGCUGGUGUUCUCUCUUGUUGCUUGGUGAAGGUAGCCCCGGUCAGCUUCUCCACUGCCCAGUAAACGACCCUUUUGUAAUGAAUGAGUGGGGAGGUAGUGUGAAGCGAUGUCAAUAUCCCAUCCCUGUCAAACUGCCUUUACUUUUUCCUUCCUUCCUUGCUCCCACCUGUGUGCAUCUUGGUCCCUUCUUGUAUUCAGGGCUGUGGUCUGUUAUGGUGUUUACUCUCAGGCUCAGGUCCUGCUUGUUUGGCCCGUGGGAGGCCCUUCUUCUGCCUUUGUGUUUUUUUGUUAUGUACCUACAGUUCUUUAGCUGUUUCUUUACUUUCUGGUGCAAAAAGAUGUUCAAGCCUUAUUUUAUAUCUGCCUGCCCCUUUCUCUUUCAUUUAUUGGAGUGAGCCAUGGCUCUAAGGAGCCCUGUUCCUUUGAAUGGAGAGUAGCAUCAGGAACCAGGAUGUGGGUGCGAGGGGUGCUCCUGGCUGUUGUGGAUUGCUGCGCCCGGGAGCUCUUAGUGGACAGAGCUAGAGGAUAUGUGCACAUACUUCCAUCUCACUCUCUCUCAUCUAUUCACAGCUGGGAAUGACACUAAUACCUCCGAUUUCAGCCCAGCACCACAGGGUACGUUCCAGCUUUCUCUCUUUCCAUAGUUGUAAGGCCCUUUCGGGGAAUGGUUCUCAUUCUCCUUAAUCUACUAUUGGGUCAGUUUUCCUGCAUGUCACCAGCCUCCCAUCACUGCCACCCACUCCCCACAGAGAGGCCCUGCUCAUCUGACUGGGGCUUUGACUCCUCCCACACUGUGUGCCUCUCUUGUGUGGAUGCCCUCCUGCCAAAACCUCCAGCAAACAGCUUUCCAAAUGGAAGUUGUCACUGUCAGGGCCUUUACAAUCAGGAACAGCAAAAUCUACGUGCUGCUGAGGGUCCUGGCUUGUUAAAAUGCAAUAAAUAUGCAAGUACAUAAAAACAGCAAUAG
rnacentral:sRNA from 1 species